UUUCGAGGUUCCUCUUUUUCUCUGAUUGCUACUGAUUGUGUUGAUUUCACUUCAUUGUACUUCACACCGUCUGCAAUCAAGCACAACGGUGACUAUACAGCUCGCUCCGAUUGGACCUUGGACCCACAUUCUUCUUUUGACUUUCUUCCAGUACAACAGCCAUGGGAGUAAUCUUCAGCUUUCUCAGU